rnacentral:rRNA from 1 species
UACGUAGGGCGCAAGCGUUAUCCGGAAUUAUUGGGCGUAAAGAGCUCGUAGGCGGUUUGUCGCGUCUGCCGUGAAAGUCCGGGGCUCAACUCCGGAUCUGCGGUGGGUACGGGCAGACUAGAGUGCAGUAGGGGAGACUGGAAUUCCGGUGUAGCGGUGAAAUGCGCAGAUAUCAGGAGGAACACCGAUGGCGAAGGCAGGUCUCUGGGCUGUAACUGACGCUGAGGAGCGAAAGCAUGGGGAGCGA